CGGGAAGAGUGCAGACACAUAACGUGAAAUCCCGAGCUUUUUGCGUGGUGCAUUUAAAAUGCUUCCUUAUUUGUAUUACCCUCAUUCCCUCACCUCUCCCACCCCCUCACCAGUCCUUCCAAAUUUCCCUAGAAAUCUAUGUAAAGCGUGCGGAGGGGAAACAUUUGCACAAAAAGUGAAGGAGCUCGCCAAGGAGUUCCCGUUUGGGUAG
rnacentral:lncRNA from 1 species